GAUGAACGCUGGCGGCGUGCUUAACACAUGCAAGUCGAACGAUGAACCUCACUUGUGGGGGGAUUAGUGGCGAACGGGUGAGUAACACGUGAGUAACCUGCCCUUGACUCUGGGAUAAGCCUGGGAAACUGGGUCUAAUACCGGAUAUGACUUGUCACCGCAUGGUGGUGGGUGGAAAGCUUUUGUGGUUUUGGAUGGACUCGCGGCCUAUCAGCUUGUUGGUGGGGUAANGGUCUACCAAGGCGACGACGGGUAGCCGGCCUGAGAGGGUGACCGGCCACACUGGGACUGAGACACGGCCCA
rnacentral:rRNA from 1 species